GCAGCUCAGUGGUAGAGCGGAAGAUUGCAGUCACACCGCAAAAUAUCUUCAGGUCAGGUGUUCGAACCACCUUCGGGACUU